rnacentral:rRNA from 1 species
CAGCCGUAAACUAUGCUCGCUAGGUGUCAGGCAUGGCGCGACCGUGUCUGGUGCCGCAGGGAAGCCGUGAAGCGAGCCACCUGGGAAGUACGGCCGCAAGGCUGAACUUAAAGGAAUUGGCGGGGGGAGCACAACAACGGGUGGAGCCUGCGGUUUAAUUGGACUCAACGCCGGACAACUCACCGGGGGACGACAGCAAUAUGUAGGCCAGGCUGAAGACCUUGCCUGAAUCGCUGAGAGGUGGUGCAUGGCGUAGACGUCU